GGUAAUUUCUGACAAGACCCGACUGGCAACACUGCAAAUAAUCACUAGUGGUCAUACGCCAACGUCACUCGCCCGAAGCCAUAAAAAAGAAAACAAAAACUUCCGGUUCCGGAAGAAAAAACAGCCAAGUGUUUUGCACUUUUGCAGCAUACUCUCUCUCUAAUCUGUUUUGCAGUGCACAAAAUCAGUGGUAAAACGUAGAACCUACAAGUUUUUUUGUUUUGCACGGUGUUUUAUUUAAUAAACGCUUCUGUUGUGCGAAUUGGACGCGUGACGUGCUGAAGAUUAAAGACUUUGCAUAAUGGAAUCAAAAAAAUUUUUUUUGGUUACAUUUUUAGAUGAAGAUGAUGCUCCUGGCAUAGUUUCAUCAAAGUGGUUAAGAUACCAACACUUGUUAUUACCCUAAUGUAUGCACUGAAGAAAUCAAAAACAAACUUGAAGAAGAUGCCUGCACCUGAAGCAACAUGGUCACAAUAUCAAAUAAAAAUACUUAAAAGUUAUGAAACUUAUGGCGAAGCACGAUUACAUUUAAAAAAAGCGGAAGAAACCUGAAAUUUGGACUCAGACGAAGCAGAAAAUGAUGUUACAAAUGAAGUGACAGUGGACAUAAUGUCUGCUGUAAAUUACCCAGUCACCUCCGGUUCUAAAGAGGCCAAGCAAACACAACUCAAAGCUGUUAACUGCCAAUCAGAGUGCAUUACAAACAAGCAAUAUGCUAUACAGCAGAGUCAUAUGAUUCAGAUUGUGUCAGACCUAGCUAACCAAAUGGCUGAAAUCAAUAGAAAAUUGGAUUUACCGUUAGCUAGGUCCGAAGAAACAUUUUCACCAACAGAUGACAAUGCAGGUCUUUCAGAACUUUUGGCAAGUCUACCAGUAAAGAUAUUGCAAGUUUUAAUAAUUUCGAUGACCAUUUAAAAAUAAACAAGAAUACAGGCAAUAAUGUCAUUUUUGUCUGGUAUUGGCGGCAGAAAUGUAAGAAGCCUUACGACUAAUAUGUUGAGACGAAUAAUUCUAGAUGAUGUAGCUGAGUUGUAUUCGUUAACUGGGAAACAGGUGAAAAAUUCGAAUAAAAAGUCAUUUAUGAGUACAGAAACCUAUAAAUUAAUCUUUCAAAUAUGUAGAAAAAUCAACGAAGAUGUAACUGAAGACAGUCUAAAAGAAAUUAUAAGUGAUUGGCUAAAUCAAGCUAAAGUUAGACUUUCAAGAAGAGCAGAAACACAAAAUAAAGAAAAAAACCAAUAGCGGCGACCAUGAAACCGAUUUUUUCUCAUUUAAAGUAAGAUAAGAUAAAAGUAUAAAUAAUAAAAAAAUAUAUGUUA